GUGGCCGUAGCUCAGUUGGUAGAGCACAGGAUUGUGGCUCCUGAGGUCGCGGGUUCAAUCCCCGUCGGCCACCCCA
rnacentral:tRNA from 1 species